rnacentral:tRNA from 1 species
ACCUGGGUGGCUCAGUCAGUUAAGCAUCUGACUUCAGCUCAGGUCAUGAUCUCACAGUUUGUGGGUUCAAGCCCUACCUUGGGUU